UUAUUUUUGAGCAGUGAGGAGUUCCUUUAACCCCUUAAGGACACAUGACAUGUGUGACAUGUCAUGAUUCCCUUUUAUUCCAGAAGUUUGGUCCUUAAGGGGUUAAUGUCACUCACAUGUAAGGAGCGUUGCUAGCUCACAAUGCAGACAGAGAGCCAGCACUCCAGCAAAAAUCAGUUUUAGAAAUGGUGCUUUUCCGUGACCAAAUGUGACAUGGACUUAAUGAGAACCUUCAAGGUGUAUGUGUCGCCCCAUUAUAACACGGAAAAUGUACUAAAAAUGACAGAAAUUAAUAAAUAAUAUAACUAAAUGCCUCAGAUUCCUUUUCUAUAGCUAACCCCUGGGUCUGAUCUGUUUCACUGCCAGACAGAGGGUGACGGAGAUCUCCAAUGAUCCCACAGCUCUCAUAGAUUUAAAUAGCAGGACUGCACUAUGAUGUCACACAGACGUAUUAUCGGUAAUUCUAUAUUUAAUUGUAGUAAAUGUGCAGUAGAGUCAUGAUAUUCAUUAUUCAUGCAUAUGGUCAUGUUCUUUUUAUUUGUUAAAAUAGAAGCUGCGGAGAGAUCUCAUUGACGCGAAUGAGCUGUGACUGUCUGUCUGUCCAUAUUUGCUGAGCUGGGACUGUCUGUCUGUCCAUAUUUGCUGAGCUGGGACUGUCUAUCUGUCACUAGAUAAGUGUAAAAUAAGGCUCGGAGUUGAUGUGUGGGAAGUUGAAAUGUCACCACACACAUCACCUCUUGAUUAGACCAGUUGCUCUUUAUGCCUGGAGUGUGCUGGCUGAGAGUCCUGGGAGCUGACUGGCUGCAGCUAGUUCAGCCCAAUGCUGUCCUGUUUUGAUGAAACUGAAAUUAAAGGGACACUAUAGUCACCAGAACAACUGCAGCUUAUUGUAUUUGUUCUGGUGAGUAUAAUCAGUCUGUUCAGGCUUUUUCUGUAAACACUGUCUUUUCAGAGAAAAAGCAGUGUUUACAUUACAGUCUAAUGAUAACUGCAUUGGCCACUCCUCAGAGGGCUACUAGAGGGGCUUCCUAGGCUCUGCCCUUGAUCUGCCUCCUUGACAUUCUCAGCCAACCCAAUGCUUUCCGAUGGAAAAGCAUUGUGAUUGGCUUUGAUCACUACUUCUGAUGAUGUCAGACAAGCAGGCAGACCAGGGGCAGAGCCAGAAGCAACAGACUAGAAUAAAGGUAAGAUUUUGCUAUAUUUACAGGGGCAAGGGGGGCAGGGGGUUAGAUGGUCAUUUAAAAACUUUAGGGACAGGAAUAAAUGUUUAUGCUCCUGACCGUAUAGUGUUCCUUUAAUUCC